UCCGGUGUGGUGUAAUCGGCAGCACAGUGGCUUUUGGUGCCAUUAGUCUGGGUUCGAGUCCUAGCACCGGAG
rnacentral:tRNA from 1 species